rnacentral:rRNA from 1 species
GACGAACGCUGGCGGCGUGCUUAACACAUGCAAGUCGAGCGGUAAGGCCUCUUCGGGGGUACACGAGCGGCGAACGGGUGAGUAACACGUGGGUGACCUGCCCUCAGCUCUGGGAUAAGCCUGGGAAACUGGGUCUAAUACCGGAUAUGACCUUUCCUCGCAUGGGGUUCGGUGGAAAGUUUUUUCGGCUGGGGAUGGGCCCGCGGCCUAUCAGCUUGUUGGUGGGGUGAUGGCCUACCAAGGCGACGACGGGUAGCCGGCCUGAGAGGGCGACCGGCCACACUGGGACUGAGACACGGCCCAGACUCCUACGGGAGGCAGCAGUGGGGAAUAGUGCGCAAUGGGCGGAAGCCUGACGCAGCGACGCCGCGUGGGGGAUGACGGCCUUCGGGUUGUAAACCUCUUUCGACCCCGACGAAUUUGGACGGUAGGGGUAGAAGAAGCACCGGCCAACUACGUG